UGUAAUUAUUGGCUGUAUAUCUUUAGUUUUGGAAGUUACGCGAGGAAUAUCAUAUGAAAAGGAAACGGGACUAAAAGUUCUUUUGAAGACGUGUGGCGUGCCAGACAAGGCAUAUUGGCUCUCUUGGUUCUUGUACUGGAGCAUACCGUACUUCAUCAUGAUGGUCGUGUUGUCAAUACUAUUUCUAUAUGCUGGUUCGUGUGAAGACGGUGGCAACCUAGGCACUAUCAUAAACCACUAUGUUGUAUUUCUGUUCCUCUUGCUAUACGCCACAUCGACCAUUUUAUUGUGCUUUGUGUGCAGCUUAGUUAACUCUACAGUUGCUGCCAAAGCGCUAAUUAUGGUGGUAUACCUUGUCCCCGCCUGUCUAAGCACACUGU